CUGGAAGCUUCCACCCCUCCCUGCUGAGCAACUACUAAAAAUGACGACAAUUUGUGAUAUGGUUUGGGAAAGGCAUGUGAAAUCUCUUCAGUGAAAUUUAAAAAAGUAGCAAGACCCAGCUUGUUACCUGUGCAUUGCAAACACAAGAGCCAGAGCUGCAACAGACUUUUCUCCACCUGAGAGGUUGUCCAUUGGCAUAAAUCGU